CGACGCGGCUCAGGAUUGGCCACAUGCUAAAUGUUACAACUGUUAUAUCUGAGCCGCUCACUGUGAUUGGUCAAACUUUAUUCCACUCCCUAGUCCAGGGCAUGUGUCAGGAAGUUGCACUGCAGUGCUGCUGCUGAAUGCUGAUGGUGUACUGUGUGUAUAUAUCUGGGCAGAGGCGCUAGAUCCCCUUCAGUUAAUGUAGCAUAAACGUGUAAUAUUCUAAGCUGUAUUUAUUGAUUUUAAAUACUAACUGCCACCGAAAUCCAGAUUGAGACACUUCCGGUAUCGGAGGGGUACUUCCGGCCAGGAACAUUUAAAUAACUGACAGCUGGGCAUAUCCAGCAUGCAGCUACAAACUUACCUGAAUCAUUUGCGCUUAUUGGACGUUCAAGAGAUUGAAGUAUUGGUAGCUGCAUCUAAUCUCUCGCAGGGAGACGACCAGAUAUGUUUCUGAAUUUACAGAGGCUCUUGCUCUGGAGUCCUUGUCCCAGGCUCCACAUAGAGAAAUUGUGACCUAGAGAAAUUGUGACCUUGUGACGGUCGCCCAGUGUACCACAGAUACGAUGUACAGCCUGUUCUGAAAAAGGUUCGUGAUCAAACCGAAACGUCGACUGUAAAGGCAUUCUGUGACCAGAUUAAACCUUAUGAAUUAAAACCUUGAAGCGAUUUUUUGACAGCGAGAGUGCACCCUCCACUAAAUGGCUUCUACCAAUGGUAAUCCACUGCAGCACAGCUUCUUCCAACUGUCAGAGAUCCAAGUGUAACACUGGCAAUGUGCAGGGAGAACCAAACCUGUUGAGGCAUCUUUGUCCUGGCAAUGGGAGAUUAAGCUGACAGUUACUACAACAAAUAAAUGUGGGAGGAGAGAUAUACAACUUGUGUGAGUAGAAUAAGUCCAUGGGCUGCAUUUGUGAAGGGAGAUCAGGGAUGCUUUAAUAAUGAUAGCGAGAAUUUGUUGGGAUGUUAUGCUGAUCUUGGUCAAAUCCAGCCCCAGGCUGCUGUGUUUGGAAUGGUGCCUUUUCCGAUUAUCUCUAUGGCUACUGUGCUUAAUGCUCAACCUGGACCGACAGGCCUGGCAGGCAGAAACUGCUCAGGCAAAUGAUGUCAGGGAAUCUAGUGCAAGUCCAAAAAGACAGAUGACACCCAGCAGGAGCAGCAAGCCAAGUCUGUGGAAUCCACAGUACAGCUGGCUCGCCCCAGGGGGGUGCCUUUUUGAAGUGGAAGAGACAUCACCAAUGAGCUGUCAAAUUAGUUCAUAAGGCUGGAAAUGCUGCAGAGAUGGAGUCCCUCCUAUGAAGAGGAGCAAGUUUAAUAGAUAAAGAUUAUACUAAAUAUCUAUGGUAUACAGAAAGCAAAAAAUCAUCUGACAAUAAAAUCCGCUAAAAAAUA